rnacentral:rRNA from 1 species
GUCGACGAUGACCUCCUUCGGGAGGGGAUUAGUGGCGAACGGGUGAGUAACACGUGGGCAAUCUGCCCUGCACUCUGGGACAAGCCCUGGAAACGGGGUCUAAUACCGGAUACUGACCCGCUUGGGCAUCCAAGCGGUUCGAAAGCUCCGGCGGUGCAGGAUGAGCCCGCGGCCUAUCAGCUUGUUGGUGAGGUAACGGCUCACCAAGGCGACGACGGGUAGCCGGCCUGAGAGGGCGACCGGCCACACUGGGACUGAGACACGGCCCAGACUCCUACGGGAGGCAGCAGUGGGGAAUAUUGCACAAUGGGCGAAAGCCUGAUGCAGCGACGCCGCGUGAGGGAUGACGGCCUUCGGGUUGUAAACCUCUUUCAGCAGGGAAGAAGCGAAAGUGACGGUACCUGC